AGAGUUUGAUCAUGGCUCAGGAUGAACGCUGGCGGCGUGCCUAAUACAUGCAAGUCGAGCGAACGGACGAGAAGCUUGCUUCUCUGAUGUUAGCGGCGGACGGGUGAGUAACACGUGGAUAACCUACCUAUAAGACUGGGAUAACUUCGGGAAACCGGAGCUAAUACCGGAUAAUAUUUUGAACCGCAUGGUUCAAAAGUGAAAGACGGUCUUGCUGUCACUUAUAGAUGGAUCCGCGCUGCAUUAGCUAGUUGGUAAGGUAACGGCUUACCAAGGCAACGAUGCAUAGCCGACCUGAGAGGGUGAUCGGCCACACUGGAACUGAGACACGGUCCAGACUCCUACGGGAGGCAGCAGUAGGGAAUCUUCCGCAAUGGGCGAAAGCCUGACGGAGCAACGCCGCGUGAGUGAUGAAGGUCUUCGGAUCGUAAAACUCUGUUAUUAGGGAAGAACAUAUGUGUAAGUAACUGUGCACAUCUUGACGGUACCUAAUCAGAAAGCCACGGCUAACUACGUGCCAGCAGCCGCGGUAAUACGUAGGUGGCAAGCGUUAUCCGGAAUUAUUGGGCGUAAAGCGCGCGUAGGCGGUUUUUUAAGUCUGAUGUGAAAGCCCACGGCUCAACCGUGGAGGGUCAUUGGAAACUGGAAAACUUGAGUGCAGAAGAGGAAAGUGGAAUUCCAUGUGUAGCGGUGAAAUGCGCAGAGAUAUGGAGGAACACCAGUGGCGAAGGCGACUUUCUGGUCUGUAACUGACGCUGAUGUGCGAAAGCGUGGGGAUCAAACA
rnacentral:rRNA from 1 species